AGUGAACGCUGGCGGCGUGCUUAACACAUGCAAGUCGAACAAGAACGGAUUAUAGCUUGCUAUAAUUGUCAGCUAAGUGGCGCACGGGUGAGUAAUGUAUAGGUAAUAUGCCUCUUACUAAGGGAUAACAAAUGGAAACGUUUGCUAAUACCUUAUACUCCUUAUUAACAGAAGUUAAUAAGGGAAAGAUUUAUUGGUAAGAGAUUAGCCUGUAUUGUAUCAGUUAGUUGGUGGGGUAAUGGCUUACCAAGACUAUGACACAUAACUGGUUUGAGAGGAUGAUCAGUCACACUGGAACUGAGACACGGUCCAGACUCCUACGGGAGGCAGCAGUGGGGGAUAUUGCACAAUGGACGAAAGUCUGAUGCAGCAACGCCGCGUGGAGGAUGACACAUUUCGGUGCGUAAACUCCUUUUAUAUGAGAAGAUAAUGACGGUAUUAUAUGAAUAAGCACCGGCUAACUCCGUGCCAGCAGCCGCCGUAA
rnacentral:rRNA from 1 species